AAAAACUUCUAUGUUUCAUUAGUAUGCAUUGAUGCCAGGUCCUAAUUCUUGGGCAAGAUUGAUCAUGUGAGGAAUGUUUUGGGAAGAUGACAUGGAGACAUGGUCUUUUAUCAUACCUGAUGGGUCAGACUCGUGGAAAUCACAGCCAUCAAGGACAUGGCUGCUGGGAAAGGGAAGUAGACUACUAUCCAGUAUCCACUGGACAUAACUGUCAUAAAGUCUCUCAGGAAGGAUUUUAGGGCAGAGAAGAGGCCCUGAUUCAGGGCCUAUUUUCUCUUGCUUUACACACAGUUCUAAGAAGUUGCAUUUUAUUUUGGCAACCCACAGUAAAUAUGAAAUGGAAAAUUAAAAGGAGCAGGUAGUCCAGAAACAUGAAAAGAGCUGGAUGACAGCUACAUGAUCAAGGAGAAAACAGAAGAACUAGAGAAGGCACAGAAUCCAGGAUAAAUUGAUAUAGAGGCCAAGAAAGUUCAUCUUCCUUUUAGAAAGGUGAAUGGCUGUGGCCAGUCACUACUCCUGGUUUUUGUGACUCUGACAUUAUAUGAAAGGAGUUUGGGGAAAUGAAAUGGAAUAAAAGGGCCUCAGCUGAAUACAUGGGUUAUCCUGCAGGAGCCGGAGCCCUUCCUCAUGGAGCUGGACACACAUAUCCCCGGCCUAGGAGUCAGAGACAGGGAAGGAAAAUUCAGGCGGAGAAGAGAGCAAUGACAAGACCAGCUGCUGCUUCACAUCAAAGAGGCGACCUGGAGCCACCUUUGAAAUCAAGAACAGAGACUAAACGGCCUGGCGGGCGUCCAGAAGGCCCCUGAAAAUGCGUGCGCAGACGCUUGA